UAGGUAUAUUCGUUAGGGUAAUAACCUAGAGUUUUCAAGGUAUAUGUAGAAUAAUAAUAAGCCCAGCACAUUGACGUUGACCCCGCUAAAUAAUUUGAUAUGUUUUUUCCGGUUAUACACUGUCGGAACAAACAGGUUCCUUAACGAAUGACUAAAGACUCUCGUUGAACAAAUAUAUUAAUCAGUUGACUAGCGUACGUGGUUGAGAUCAUACGCACAUUCUAAUUUCAACAAUGAAGACUGUGUCAAUUAUUUUCAUCGUUUUUGCAUCCUGUCUUUGCGUGAGCUAUUGUAAAGACCUUAUUGUGGGAACGAGUUUCAAUAACAGACUGAUAUGGCAAGAAAAAGCGGAAUAUGUCUCUAUCCCGCUAAAAAAGAGGGUCAAGGAAGUCUUCUUUGCUGAUCCAGGUCAACAAAUAAUAAAGGGAAUAAUUGCGAGGGAUUUGGAUCACACGGACGCAAGUGCGACGAUCACAUCGGGAGGAGUCGGUCAGUCUUACGCCAACAUCAGACUGAAGAGCGAGAGAGGGUCUGGUCUAAACUAUCAACUUGAAAUCUAUGUUUAAAACAACUUCAUUAAAUGAAUUUAAGUGCAUACCAAAAUACUACAAUAAUUGUAAUUCUUAUACCAUUUUAUCAUUUCACUUGUUAUGAUAACUGAUUAAAUUAUAAACAAAA